AGAGUUUGAUCAUGGCUCAGGAUGAACGCUAGCGGCAGGCCUAACACAUGCAAGUCGAGGGGUAACAUAGGAAAGCUUGCUUUUCUGAUGACGACCGGCACACGGGUGCGUAACGCGUAUACAACCUACCUUUUAGCGGGGAAUAGCCCAGGGAAACUUGGAUUAAUGCCCCAUAGUAUAUAGACUUCUCCUGAAGUUUAUAUUAAACAUUUAUGGCUAUUAGAUGGGUAUGCGUCCUAUUAGUUAGUUGGUAAGGUAACGGCUUACCAAGGCAGCGAUAGGUAGGGGUCCUGAGAGGGAGAUCCCCCACACUGGUACUGAGACACGGACCAGACUCCUACGGGAGGCAGCAGUGAGGAAUAUUGGACAAUGGGCGAGAGCCUGAUCCAGCCAUGCCGCGUGCAGGAAGACUGCCCUAUGGGUUGUAAACUGCUUUUACAGAGGAAGAACCACCCCCACGUGUGGGGGUUUGACGGUACUCUGCGAAUAAGGAUCGGCUAACUCCGUGCCAGCAGCCGCGGUAAUAC
rnacentral:rRNA from 1 species